CAAAAUCUCUUAUCUCUUAUCAAGUUUUUGAAAGAAUGUUUCUAUCAUUCCCAUUUUCUUCUGAAAAUACGUGAAUUAGUGACAGCCAAGCCCAUUUCUCUCUCAGCUUCCCAGUGUCGUUUCUGGAGUUGGUCAAUUGAGCGAAGGGCUGAAGAGGAGAGUGGGCGUUUGGGGAUUAGGGUUAGGCCUAGUUUCAACGUGGAACUUCCACCGGGGUUUGUGUUGAAGAAGGAGAUGAGGAUGUGUCUGAUUUGGACCAGGCUUCUAGAGAGAAGGAGAAGAGGUCCGUUGGAGUGUUCCAUGAGCUGUUCUCACUUUCCUUGCACAAGAGGAUAGGUUUUCGAAUGCGUUUUCCACCACUUUUACUAGGAAUUCGGGGAUAUUCUAUUUGUCCUUGAAAGAUCAAGCCUGCAGUAUAUCGUUGGAGGUCACAAAUUGUGGAAAACGCUGAAGUUCUGCUGGAUGUUCCUCUGAUAAUUCAGAGGGUAGGAAUACACAUUGUAUAUCUGCUAAGGAUGGAAGAAAUGAAUUGCAUUAUUGGAAGAUGAUCAAAUUCUUCUACCAAAUUACCUUGAGCUGCAAUGACGUAUUUGCAUUUCAUGUUUCAAGAAACAGCUGGAAACCGGCUAAGGAAAGUGUAAAGAAUUUAAAUUUGCCAUGCUAUCAUGCAUGUUACGUAAUGGUAAAGUUAUUGCCUCGUAGCUUGGAGGUUACAAGUUCAAAUCCUAGAAAUAGUUUGGGGAUAAGGCUCUGGAUUACCCUGCUAUAUGUUACUUCAAGAACGGCUGUUUCCUAACUGUCAUCUAACUACUAUUUGAAGGCUCUACAAUAACACUUCUUUUGUUUGUGUGC